rnacentral:rRNA from 1 species
CGGCAACAGCUCAAAUUUGAAAUCUGGCGCAAGCCCGAGUUGUAAUUUGUAGAGGAUGUUUUGGGUACCGCGCUGGUUUAAAUUUCUUGGAACAGAAUGUCAGAGAGGGUGAGAAUCCCGUCUUGGACCGGCGUAGGGCCCGUGUAAAACUCCUUCGAC